rnacentral:rRNA from 1 species
UACGAAGGGGGCUAGCGUUACUCGGAUUGACUGGGCGUAAAGGGCGCGUAGGCGGAUGGUACAGUCAGACGUGAAAUUCCUGGGCUCAACCUGGGGGCUGCGUUUGAUACGUGCUGUCUGGAGUUCGGAAGAGGGUCGUGGAAUUCCCAGUGUAGAGGUGAAAUUCGUAGAUAUUGGGAAGAACACCGGUGGCGAAGGCGGCGACCUGGUCCGAUACUGACGCUGAGGCGCGAAAGCGGGUGGGAGCAAACAGG